CAGUCACAUGGGUGGCGGGAUGAACUUUGGUGCCUUCAGCAUCAAUCCCGCCAUGAUGGCCACCGCACAGGCAGCACUGCAGAGCAGUUGGGGCAUGAUGGGCAUGUUAGCCAGUCAGCAGAACCAGUCGGGCCGGUGGGCAACAACCAGGGCCAGGGCAACAUGCAGAGGGAGCCGAACCAGGCCUUUGGGUCGGGGAAUAACUCCUACAGUGGCUCGAACUCAGGCACAGCCAUCGGCUGGGGGUCGGCGUCCAAUGCGGGGUCUGGCAGUGGCUUUAACGGAGGCUUCGGCUCCAGCAUGGACUCCAAGUCUUCGGGCUGGGGCAUGUAGGCGGGGGACGGGGGGUGGCUGGCUAGUUAGAUGCACUAGACUGGUGGGAACUCCGAUUUUUCUAAACUCCUGGUAAGUAUAUUGUAAAAUACAUAUGUACUAAGAAUUUUCAAAAUUGGUUUGUUCAGUGUGAAGUAUAUUCAGCAGUAUUUUUGACAUUUUUCUUUAGAAAAAGAGGAAGAGCUUAAAGGAAUUUUAUAAGUUUUGUUACACAAAGGGUUGAACUAUUGAAUGUUUGCAAGUGAACUGCUGUUUUCCUGAUUGGUAAACCGACACACUACAGUGGCUAUCAAAAGGUUUCUCCUGUGAGGUUUUACUCCCUGGACUUGUCACGUGAAUUCUUUGCAUGUUCAAAUGGAGACCAUUGCCUAGAACUCUGUCCUUCCUCGGUUUUCCUUUGAACCCCACCAUACGGAUUUCUCUCCCGGGGGAGGGGGGUUCUCCUCUGGAGAUCAUGGUGUCCCGAUACCUGGGUUCAUUUCUGUUUCUGUGUUUAACUUGUCUCCCCUCAUGUACGAAAGUACCAUAUGAAGCCUUCAUUUAAUCUCUGCAGUUCAUCUCAUUUCAAAUGUUUCUGGAAGAAGCACUUACUGAAAGUAGUGCUAACUAUUCUGCCGUAGAACACUGUCCACAUGCUUUCUCCCUCAAGACCUAGCCACCGCGCUGCCAGUCCUCGUCUCUGACGGACAUCCGCAUCUGUUGGAAGACUUUUAAGUGAGUUCUAUUCCUAGGUAACCAGUGGUAGCUGAAUGUGUUCAGUGAAACGAUACUUGUACCUCCCCUGCCCUCCUGUCAACUGCUGUGAAUGCUGUGUGGUGUGUGUUCUCCUCUGUUCCUCAUCUGCAAGUGUGGUCAUGUGGACUGGAGCUGUGGGCUGAGGAUCGGACUGAGCUUGUGUGUUUCACAGAGUACUUGGCCGCAGAGCCUGCCCGCCGGGGAGCGCGGGGGUCUCCCGCAAGGGUGGAAGUUCUAAUGUCUGUAGCGACCCUUAAGAAUGCUGUUUGCUGCAGUUCUGUGUCCUGUGCUUGGAGGCUUUUUAUAAGAGUUGUCAAUGUUGGAAAUUCUUAAAUAAAACGGAUUUAAAUAAAAAAAAA